AUGGUUGAUCCCAGUACAAGCAGGACCCUAAGGAUUUAUCCCCUUUUUACACUGACUAAAUGGGAGGUUUUGGAUUCAACUGUAAUUGUGAUUUGUGCGAAAACUUUGGUAUACAUUGAAGCAAAGCUAACAAGGAUGAAGUCAAACAGCUAUACCUCCAAUGCUUUGCUUGAUACUGUGACAGUAGCAAUAGUCCAGACGAUGAUCCUUUCAAGUAGUAAUUGA
rnacentral:rRNA from 1 species